rnacentral:rRNA from 1 species
GAUGAACGCUGGCGGCGUGCUUAACACAUGCAAGUCGAACGAGAAAUGGAGACGGAAACCUUCGGGCGGAAGGCUUCAUUUCGAGUGGCGGACGGGUGAGUAACGCGUGGGUAACCUGCCUCAUACAGGGGGAUAACAGUUGGAAACGACUGUUAAUACCGCAUAAGACCACAGCACCGCAUGGUGCGGGGGUAAAAACUCCGGUGGUAUGAGAUGGACCCGCGUUCGAUUAGCCAGUUGGCGGGGUAACGGCCCACCAAAGCGACGAUCGAUAGCCGAUCUGAGAGGAUGACCGGCCACAUUGGGACUGAGACACGGCCCAAACUCCUACGGGAGGCAGCAGUGGGGAAUAUUGCACAAUGGGGGAAACCCUGAUGCAGCGACGCCGCGUGAGUGAAGAAGUACUUCGGUAUGUAAAGCUCUAUCAGCAGGGAAGAAAAUGACGGUACCUGAGUAAGAAGCCCCGGCUAACUACGU